AAACUUAAAGGAAUUGACGGGGACCCGCACAAGCGGUGGAUGAUGUGGUUUAAUUCGAUGCAACGCGAAAAACCUUACCUACCCUUGACAUGUCUAGAAGUUUCCAGAGAUGGAUUCGUGCUCGAAAGAGAACUAGAACACAGGUGCUGCAUGGCCGUCGUCAGCUCGUGUCGUGAGAUGUUGGGUUAAGUCCCGCAACGAGCGCAACCCUUAUCAUUAGUUGCUACGCAAGGGCACUCUAAUGAGACUGCCGGUGACAAACCGGAGGAAGGUGGGGAUGACGUCAGGUCAUCAUGGCCCUUAUGGGUAGGGCUACACACGUCAUACAAUGGCCGGUACAGAGGGCUGCCAACCCGCGAGGGGAGCUAAUCUCAGAAACCGGUCGUAGUCCGGAUCGCAGUCUGCAACUCGACUGCGUGAAGUCGGAAUCGCUAGUAAUCGCGGAUCAGCUUGCCCGCGGUGAAUACGUUCCCGGGU
rnacentral:rRNA from 1 species